rnacentral:misc_RNA from 1 species
UGAGGUGUAUCUCUCCUUCACUGGCACACGUGUGGAUUAAACCAGAAUAAACGCCAACAGACGAUAAGGACAUCGCUUACGUAAAGCAACGCGUGCGUGUGCCCGUCUUUCCUGUCUGCUCUCGCUUUCACCUUGAACUACAAAACACCUGCACGUCGUGCGACACGCAUCAUGUCGGACUACGGCGACGCUCAGCACAACGGCGGCGACAGCGGUGGCCGCGGCGAGGGUGGCUACGGCGGUCCCCGUGACGGUGGCUACGGCGGUCCCCGUGAUGGUGGCUACGGUGGCGGCUAUGGAGGCGGUCGUGGCGGGGAUCGCUACCGCAGCGGCGGCUACGGUGGUGGCCGUGGCUACGGUGGCGGCUACGGCGGCGGCCGCGGUGGAGAUCGCUACCAUGACCGCCACGGCGGCUUGGGCUCCAACCUGCACCGGAUCGACUGGGACGCCGUGCAGAAGGUGGCGACGCAAUGGAACUUCUACAAACCGCAGAAGCCGCGCAGCGAGGAGGAGAUUGCGACGUGGCUGCGCGAGAACAGCAUCACCAUCUACGGUGACCGCGUGCCGCAGCCGAUGCUCGAAUUUUCCGACCUGGUUGCCCCGGAUGCCAUUCAUCAGGCUUUCAUGGACGCCGGAUUCCAGAAGCCGACCCCGAUUCAGUCCGUCUCCUGGCCGGUCCUGUUGAACUCGCGUGACAUCGUCGGCGUGGCCAAGACAGGCUCUGGCAAGACGAUGGCCUUCAUGAUUCCCGCGGCCCUGCACAUUAUGGCGCAGCCUCCGCUGCAGCCUGGCGACGGUCCCAUCGCCCUCGUCCUCGCCCCGACCCGCGAACUGGCGGUGCAGAUCGAGACAGAGACACGCAAGGCUUUGACGCGCGUGCCGAGCAUUAUGACGACGUGCGUGUAUGGCGGCACCCCGAAGGGGCCGCAGCAGCGCGCCCUGCGCGCCGGUGUGCACGUCUGCAUUGCAACGCCAGGUCGCCUGAUUGACCUGCUGGAGACGAACUGCACGAAUCUGCUGCGUGUCACCUACCUCACCCUCGACGAGGCGGAUCGCAUGCUUGAUAUGGGUUUCGAAGACCAAAUCCGCAAGAUCUGCUCUCAGAUUCGCACAGACCGCCAGACGCUCAUGUUCUCGGCGACGUGGCCGCGCGAGAUCCGAAACCUCGCCGCCAGCUUCCAGAAGGACUUUGUCCGUGUACACAUCGGCUCCGAGGAGCUUGUGGCCAACGCUGAUGUCCACCAGCACGUCUUCGUCGUUGAGGGAUAUCACAAGGAGGAGAAGAUGGAGGAGAUUCUUCGCCAGGUCGGACCGCAGCGCGUACUCGUCUUUGUGAAGACAAAGAAGUCGUGCGACAUUUUGCAGGACCGCCUUGGCCGCGCGCUGCGGCAGACGGUGCUCGCCAUUCACGGUGACAAGCUGCAGUCCAGCCGCGACUACGUACUGGACCGCUUCCGCAAAGACGAGCGCGCGAUCCUCGUCGCCACCGACGUGGCGGCGCGCGGUCUCGAUAUCAAGGACUUGGACGUGGUGGUGAAUUACGAUAUGCCACUGAACAUCGAAGAUUAUGUGCAUCGUAUUGGUAUGUUGACGGACUUCCGCCCUCUCACGGUAUCGCUAGCCCCGAUCCCCUCUGUGUAUCUGUCUCUGUGAGUGUGUGUGUGUGCCGCUUUCUCUUCUGUUGUGUCUCAUUGUGCUACCCGUGCUGUCGCACCACGCCUGCAACUGCCUCUGCCGCGGACAUCGCCACCUUCUUUCCUUCCACCUCGCUCGCGUCUUCUUCAGCUUGCCAAAUCCGCUUAUGCUAAUGUGUGUUGGCUGGUGGUUGUGGUGACGACGAGAGGCCACGAGCGCGGCCAGGAACUCCAGCGGUGGGUGAGUGUGUGUGGGGUGGACGGUUGCAGGAGUCGCGAAGGUACAAGUACACGGAUGGGCUCAACGGGAGAGGACGAGCGAAGCAGUGAAGCAUGUGUGCGUGCGCUCUCACAAAUUCUAAACGAACAUAGUACUCCUGGAGAAGAUGUGCUGCACAUACCGCCAUCGCUGCAGGAGAGGGAGGGGGACGGUGUAGAAAGGAAUGCGGCAGCCGGUGAUCACUCAACGGCAGGUGAUGCGAGAGGAGGGCUCGAGAGAGCGACUUGGAAAAGGAGUAUUGCACUCGCUCGCACGCCUACCGUUGCGCCAUCUCUUGUUCGCCCCGUGCAGCCGUCCCCCUCUCCACUGACACUUCUACACUCACACACAUACACACGCAUGCUGCACGCACACGCACGCACACACACACACGCGCAGACACACGGAUACAACAGAAAAACCAUAGCAACCCGGUGAUACAUGACCGCCCACCCCCACCCUUCCACCACCACCACCACCCGCACACCUCCACCCACGCUUCCGCAAGGUCUGGCUUUGCCUUCUUCCUUCCACCUCGCUCUCUGUGUUUCUGUCUCUCUCACGCUCUCACUCUCGCGCGCUCCUUGUCUUCCGUGCCGCCCACAGCAGCCUCGCACGGCCUUCGUUGCCCUUGUCGCUGGCGCUAUGGUCUCACUCGGUCCAUCGCCUCCCCGGGCCACCACCCGGCACUACCUCAUCCUCACGCAUAUGCGCAGUUUUCCCGUCGUUUGAACACAUGCUUGCGCCACUAUGCAGGGCGCAUAUGCGUGAGGAUGAGGUAGUGCCGGGUGGUGGCCCGGGGAGGCGAUGGACCGAGUGAGACCAUAGCGCCAGCGACAAGGGCAACGAAGGCCGUGUGAGGCUGCUGUGGGCGGCACGGAAGACAAGGAGCGCGCGAGAGUGAGAGCGUGAGAGAGACAGAAACACAGAGAGCGAGGUGGAAGGAAGAAGGCAAAGCCAGACCUUGCGGAAGCGUGGGUGGAGGUGUGCGGGUGGUGGUGGUGGUGGAAGGGUGGGGGUGGGCGGCCAUCUAUUUCGUUUCGAUUUGUUUUGGCAGCCGCCUUUAACCCCCCUUCCCCUCUCCCUCUCCCACCUCUCUCUACCGAUGUGUGUGUGUGUGUGUGCGUGUCUGCAUCUGCUUCUCUUAUCAGCUGAACGACUUGAUUCUUUUUGGCCGUGACUUUUUUCUGCUUGGACGUGUGCGCGCACGUGCGUAACGGCGGCACGAUGGUACUGUGCCGUCCUCGACUCUCCCUACUGCGCAGCUCUCUAGCCUUGUGUGUGUAUGAUGGUGUGCGCACGCAGCGAUCGGUUUCUGCUUCCUUGUGCAACCUCUUCGUGUCCUCACCCCACCUUGGUACGCCGUCUGCGCUGAAGGGGGCUUCUGUGCUGCUGCUGAGCGUUCCUCACGCCCCGCCCUCUGCGCGUGCGUGAGUGUGCCUGCGUCCCGAGAGCGCCUCGGUGAUCGCAGGCAUGUCUGAGCGAUCGUGUGGCCGCACGUGUGUGCGUAACGAGGCGGCGUUUUUUAAGCAUGGCGAACCCCCCGCCUCGCGCACACAUAAAAAGAUUCAGGCGCGAUGUGCAAGCCUAUGUAUGUAUGUUGCGUGAUGGGGGCUGCAGGGAUGCAGUCCAGCGAUGGCUCCUCCCACGUGUGCAAGGGGCGGCUGUUCGUUUUAGUACGCGCUUGGCGGUUCUGCACACGUAUGCGUGAGACUUCGUUAGCGUCUGCGAGCGGGCGUGUUUGUUCUUUGGUAAGUGGGCCUAUCGCCGGAUGCCCCACCCACGCACCCAGCCCCUUCCUCCCGCACAGUCUGUGAGACCGGAGCGGGGCAUGAGUGGUGAUUACCGAUUCGAAGAACGCGCAAGGGCGGGGUAAAGGAGCCCGAGGUGACAGGAGAAGGCGCGAUGGGCAGCAACGCACACAUUAGAGGCACAUAUAUGCACGCAUGUGCGCACACACACACACACACACACACACACGCACACACACACACAUGCACACACACACACACAUAUGCACACAUAUGUACUCACAACUAGACACGCGUACAGAACACCACCUCCAUGCACAUGCUUAUCCUCUCUACCUACCUCCCGCACAUAAAACGGUGUUUGUAUGCAGCUGUGCGUGUAUGGAUAUGUGCACCGAUGUCUACGCCUGUAUACGUGUGUGUUGACGUUUGCGUCUCUUUCCCUCUGCGUGUCCGACUGCGUCGUGCCUUCUCCUAUCCUUGCCCUCUCCCACCUUAUCACCCCUGCACCGAGACGCAGGCGUGCCGGACUCUACCCCUCACCCCACCUCUCACUUCUCAGUCUCCCGCGACGCACGCCCACAUUCACGUGAGCACGCCGCCCGCGCAGCCGUUUGGAAGGCGAGCGAGGCAAGCAGUGAUAGCGCGAUGGAGGGUCAUGCGCAUGGGAAUGUGUGUGCGUCUCUGUGUGCUGCACCUCAUCUCUAUGACUUCGGUGCGUGUGCCGUGGGAGACACGCGGGCUUUGCCCGCUGAGAAGAAGCACCGGUGGAUGCUUGUGUGCGCGUGUGCCUUUACUCGGCCACGCGCGGGUGCGCACCUCUGCAUAUUCGAGUACGCGUGCAUUUAUGCGUGCACUCAGACUGCUUCCUGAGUUUUGGUGCUCCUCGCGAGCCUGUGUCUCUCUCCGGGUAAUCUCUGCUCCGUGCGUGUGGGGCCAACGUCUUUGUAUGCGUGUUGGCGGCCUGAAGGACGCACCACAUGAUGCCCUGUGUCCUUCGUCCCGCAACUUGCCCGCUAUCCAGCCCUUCGGUCCAUCUCUCUCUGCACUUGUCUCCCUCUUGCCCGGUUUGAAACACGCCUUGCGUCCUCCCUUACCGUAUAGGACAUACCGCCGCAUGUGCCUUGUGCGCUCACGCGUGCGGAAGCGCUAAGGGGGCGCAUCCAACUCGGGCUCGGUCGAGAGGCGGUGGACAGUGGGGAGAGAGAAGGACGAUGCAGCCAGCUUGAGACGAUGCCCACAGGACGAGUUGAAGGGGCGGGCACACGCAAGCACAGCGAGAUAGAGAGAGAUUCUGCAGAGCAGCGGCUGCACACACAUACACACGCGAAAAGAGCAGUGACACCUCUACACAGGCGUCCAUGCAGACGCCCGUGCAUGCAUGUUUUGCACGUCAACAAGGCGCGCACGCAUGCACACGCCGGCACCGACGCAUCGAGAGCGCACGCACACACGCACACACGUACGGAGACCGCCUUUCGCAACUAACUGCGCCGCGUCACCUCCGCUAAGCAGAGGAGACGAGCGCACGCGAGCUUAUAGCACAGUACAAAACGCCGCGAUCCACGGGAGACGGGGGGCGAGAACGCCCUCCCUCUUCCCUCCCCCCUCCCCUUCCCCCUGCUCCCUCACCCACCCCUUUCAAUGCCCCCCUCCCCCAUCCCCCGCACAGCAGCAAGCGCACGCGCAGCAUGUUCAUUUUUCUUUUUCGUUUGCUUCUAGCUGCUUGUGUGACACCCGUGUGCACGCGUGUGGUGCACGUCUGUAUACGUGGGUGACCCCGUCGCAGCGACCACACGCGGCCCACGUCCCGCCCUCACCACCACCACCUCUUCUCCCUCUUGUGCUCUGCUCCCCAAAAGGUCUUACCUUUUUGUUUUGUUUAUCGUCCAGGUCAGCUGAUGAGACACACACACACACACGUACGCACACCCAUCGAUAGGUAUACGCACAGGCGCAGGCGCACUGUUUUUUUUUUUUUUGGUUUUGUGGCGGCUCGCAUACAUGCAGUGUGCCUGUGCCUGUGUUGCCCCCCUUCUUGUGUUUAACGCUCUCUCCUGCCUUCGCAGGAAACAACUUGCUUUCUACUCUCCUCUCUCACGCCCCCUCUCUCUCGCUCUCACAAUAUUUCCACACUCCUCUUCCUCCUGCGCUCUCUCACACGUGUGUGCGUGUGUGCGUGCGCCUUGUAUGAGUCAACCCUGUGCGCGUUGCAUAUUCGCAUUCCUUCGCGUAUGCGUGCAUGCGCCUCCAAACAACAACAUGCGUGUGGACGAACUCUGCGUUGCGUGCUGAACGUGUUCGUGCACACAAACCCAUGUGCACGUGCGCGUGCUCUCUCGCUGUGCUCUCCCCCUUCACUCGCCUGCGCCCUCGCGUAUUGAUGCACGUGUUUUCUACGCGUGCAGGUCGUACGGGUCGUGCCGGUAAGACCGGCGACGCCUAUUCCUUUGUUUCAUCGGCUGAUAACAGCAAGACUAUUCGUGACCUGAUCGACCUGCUGCUGCGCGCGAAGCAGGAGGUCUCGCCGGAGCUCUACGCUGUCUGCCAGUACGCGCGCAACGAUGGCGGCCGCAGCGGACGUGGAUACGGCGGACGCGGUUACGGCGGCCGUGGGUACGGUGGUGGUGGCGGCUACCGUGGCGGCCGUGGGUACGGUGGUGGUGGCUACCGCGGUGGCCGCGGCUACGGCGGCCCCGGCGGCCCCGGCGGUGCCCCUGGUGGCCCCCCGCGCAGCGAGAGCUUCACACCGUACUAGUGUGCGUGCGUGUGUGCGUGCGCACCUACGACCCUUAUUGAGACCCUGAUUGCCAUCUCAGCGUGCUGUACGUCUGCCGACGCUCUCGCUGAUGGCACGGCUCUGUGCUGGCGUCUGCGUUGAUGUUGGUGCUUCGGUAAAUUUGCUUAUGUGUGCGGGAGAGGAAGGGAGGGGAAACGAAGAUGAGGAGGAGGCCUGUGUGGCGGCGCGCGUGCAGCGCCUUGUGCCCCUCUCUCUGUGUACGUUGGACGCGCGCCUCGGGGAGGCUUUUUCCCCUCCCCCUUUCUUUCUUAUAAGGAAAAUGAUUAAUCCGUUAAAAGGCACGCGCACACAUGUGCGACGCAGGCGCACUCACACGCACACACACACACACACACAUACACAUAGAGGAAAGGCGACCAUGACCUCCUUUCAUGUGUGUAUCUGGCUUAUUUCAAGGAUGCGUGCGUGCCUGCGUGCGUGCGUGAUGUGCAUGUGCGCGUGUGCGUUGCAACUUACUGUCUACUUUCGAUUUUUUACUCUUGUCCAGUUGUCUUCUUUCUUCCUCUCAUCUCUCUCAGUGUGCGCGUGUUUGAUGCUCAGCAAUGCUGAUGGCGGCAGUGAUGGCGAUGAGUGGAUGGAUGGGUUUUGAUCGGCGAGCAUCGACAUAGACUUUAAAAUUGUGUGUGUGUGUGUGUGUGUGAUUGUGUACGUGUAUGUUCUCUGGGUAAAG